CCCAAGUCUCUUAUGUCUCACUGCAUUGGCAAGUGGGUUCUUUACUACUGCGCCACCUGGGAAGCCCAUAAGAACCUAAUUUUGGUAGGUGCCAGUUAGCAAACCCAGAUGGGUUUUACAUGGACCCAUCCCGCAAUUCUCCUUUCUAUAAGUUUUCAUUUUCCUGACCACUGGAUCCCUACUUCCCCACCUCCCUACUUCCUCAUUCCCCCCCUUAAAACACUCAGUCUUUGCUGGACAAAUGGAAGCUUUCAGUCCCCUAUUGCAGUAGUGAACUAGUGAUGAAAAUCUGUGCCUAGCACUUUAACUAGUGUCCCGCUUCGUUGACCUUUGCAGGACAUUCAGUAUUUGCAUAAAGGCCAUUCCCUCUUCCCUAUCCCUGGAAGUGAGCACAAGAGAGAGAGAGGCCUGAAGUUCAAAGAGGUUUUUUUCUUUUUUAGGUUGUUAGUAUUUGCAAGAAAGGGGGCGGGGUGACACAUUAUUCCCCAAUUGGAUGAUUGCUCAGCAAGUAGGCUUGCCCCAAGAGAAGGGGAGAGACCUCAGAGGGGAAAAAGUCAAUAUGGAACCUCCAAGGGGAUAAGGUGUAAGGAUGGUUAUAGCAUCUAGGUGCAGAAAAUACCUCGUCUGUGUCUACGAUACCUCGUCUGUUUCUACGAGCCUAAGUGGGCCAGCAGAGGGUAGAUGAGACCUUGGCUAUGAAGGUACAAAGAGAUGUGGACCUCUGAUGCAAUUAUAGGGGUGGGUGGCUGCCUGCGCCACCAAGCAUAACCAUUCUCAGGAGGGAGCCCCCGCACCACCCCCCGCCAAGGCAAAGGGAGCUGUUGCUGUGGAGUUUCUCAUCUGCAGGAGCCUGUGGCGGCCACCGCCUGUCCACACCAACCUGCAGACCUCGAGCUAGGCACAUGGAAUGAUUGCAUUUCCUUUAUACCCAUGAAGUGGAAAUAUGUCUGUGUUACUUGUUUUGGACAAUGAAACAUAAGCAAAGUGGUUUGAGAGCUGGUUCCUGACUCUUUAAUAUACUUUCUUCUUCUGCUACAGUAAUUAGGGAAACCAGUGUUGAUAAGGUGGUGCCACAAGAUUGAAGAAGCUUGAAUUAGUAGUCGUACUUGUAGGAGAGCUGGGCUGGAAGUUUGCCCAUAUCCGCAGUGAGAUGUCUAUGAGUGAACAAAAAGUAAGCUUGUAUGGUGAGAUUUGGAGCUUGUUUGUUACUCAGCAAAACAUAUCCUAUCCUGAUUACCAUGGUAGAAAGAGGACUGACUUGUGGAAAGCCUCUUUAAAAUAAAAGCAAAGGAUAAAGUUGUUUUGUUUUCAGCAAAAUGUCUUGUUUUUUAUUAGACUGUAAAAAACUAACAACUGACUCAUUAAUUAUUCACAAAAGGAAUCAAAAGGAAUCCCCAGGUUGGAGGGAGUUUCAGGGUGGCUCAAGGAGAAGGCACAUACGUGUUUUUGAGAGAAAAUGACGCUCCUAGCUAACAACUGUCCAUGUGGGUGGGCAAGACUGAAGCACCACGGGGAAAAAGGAAGAUGUGGGUAAAACUUUACAGAGAGAGAAGCUAGCAUGGGGAAAAGUCACCUUAGGUGUGUUUAAGUGUGUUGAUUAAAGGUAACCAGGGAAGAUGCUUUCUUCCCCACUAACCAAGUAACAGUUGCUUCACUUUGGUUU